rnacentral:sRNA from 1 species
GCUGGGCACAGUGCUCAUGCCUGUAAUCCCACCAGCUCAGGAGGCUGAGGCAGGAGGAUUGCGAGUUCAAAGCCAGCCUCAGCAUAAGCGAGGCACUAAGCAACUCAGUGAGACCCUGUCUCUA